CCUGAGACAACCACUAGUUCAUAAGUAGAAGGCAUAGCUGUCACCAUUAGGACUGGAGAUCAAUGGGAAGAGGUCAGGGAUAUACAAACUCAGAGCUUUGGAAUAGAUUCUAUGGUUCUAGGACCCCAACCUCUGAAGACAGGUACACCCAGCUUGGUGCUGAACCUCUGGAAUCUGGUGGAGGGCUCAGAGAACCAGGACUCAGGAUUCUGAGGGAUCAGGUAGUUUUCUUCUCUCUCCUUCGUCAUUGCAAAUGGAAGGCAGGGGACCUGUUUGAAGCUGGAAACUAUCCUCAUCUUUAAAGUGAGAAGAGCAGAGGAGGCUAACUUCACAGAACACCAAAAGCCCUCAGGAGUAAGUAAGGUUCCUCAUAAACAGCACAAUUGUUUUACUUUCUGUGCUUUUGCUCAAACUGUCCCAGAGUAUUUCUUCAAUAUUGAACCAUAUUACAGAACAUUUGGAGUAUUUCAAGUUCCAGAAAAAGUGUUCAAACCCAUUUAUGACAUAUUCUAAGGAUUCCAGACGUCUGUACUCAUCUGCAUCUUUCAGAGUUUGCUAGGACUUCCAUCGAAAAUACAAAAUGAGUGGCAUGAAUAGCAGAAAUUUAUUGCCCAACAGUUCUGGAAGCUGGAAGUCCAAUAUCAUGGUAUUCUUGAGGCUAUACUUCCUCUGAAGUUAAUUCUUUCAGUAAACUUGACUUGAGCUCCUGUGUCAACAUUUGGAGAUGUAGAGUUGGUUUAGAGUCUCACUUCUGAACUGAAGGUCCUCACAAAUUGUGAAAAUAAACAGAGCAUCAAGAUUCCUAAUAAAAUUUUAGAAAGGAUGAAGAGUAUAGACUGGAGAUUCUUCUUAAAUGUUCUUCCAACAUUUUGAGUUGGACAUAUUCCCAAAUGCUGAUGAUCAUGAGGAUUCUAAAUUCCUGCUUAUGUAAAAAUAAGUAAAAUAAACGGUGCACCCUUCUA